AGCCGACGCAGGCAGCCGCCGGGUGAAGUACGCAGGUACCGCAGGUACCCGGCGCCCGCCCGAUUUCAGGGCAAGUUACUGUUUUCAGAAUCCAAGGGGAAUCUAACACCUAAACAAUGCCAAGAGAAAAGGAAGGAAAACGAAAAACUAAAGGAGCACUCCUGCCCAUCAUUCCAACUCUUAAAAAGUUCCUGAAAACGUAUGAGAAGUAUUGUGCACAGACUCAGACGUCUGUGUGUCCAGCCAUCAAAAGGGACUUGAAAACCAGCAUCAAUAAUGAACAAAUUCUCAGGAAGUUUGUACUUGUAAGACUUGAUGACUCCCCGCCAGGCAUCCUACCAAUUUCCUUGGAACCUUUGCUCAUGACAGUUCAGGAUGAGUGUUUCACUAUGGGGAGAGAGAUCUGCAUUUGGGGCCUUCAACUGAGCAACCCAGAGAUGGCCAGACUCGCUUUGCUUUUGGAAUCAAAGGGGUGCACCACCUGCCCAUUUACCACCCUGGAACUCAUUGAUUGCAAGAUGGAUCUGUGGUCCCUGGGGAGACUUGGGAAGGCUCUUCAGUCCAGCAGUUUGCAAACUCUUGUUCUUGAUUACUGCAAAUUUGGAAAUGAAGAAAUUGAGAGGAUUUUCUCAGGCCUGGAGAACAACCAAAGGCUUCAAGUCCUCAGCUUACGUUACUGUGGUCUGGGGCCACAGAUUGGGCCAAGGCUGGGCUCCAUCAUAUGCCAGAGUGCCAUUUGUGAGCUGCACCUUGAUGGCAAUUACUUGCAGUGUUCUGGAGCUCUGGAUCUCCUCAGACCCAUAGCAGAGUAUGCAGAGAUGCAGGGGAAAGACCAGCCAGCCACUUGCUCACCAGACCCCAGGCAUCCCCCUCAGCUGCUCCAAGCUAAGCAGAGAGGAAGUUCAACUUUGAACCAGAUUACAAAGUCAUCUGGAGCUCUAACAGUGAAAACUACUUCAGGAAAGAAGAGAAAAAAAGGUAUUGUUGUGGUUGUUUGAACUAUUCCUCCCAUUUCCUUCAUCUUGUAAAUCACUUCCUCCUUAAAGUAAUUAUUCCAAAGAGAGAGAAAAACCCAAGUGGAGAAGAACACUCAGUGUCUGAUGGCUUCAAGUAGACCAAAUACAGAACAUCUUAGCCAUUUCCACCAGAGGAAUUUGUCUUUGGCUCAUUCAACAAGACCAAAAAACAAGUAUGGGAAUAUCUCUGCAAUAAACAGCCAGUGUGACCUGAUACUUCA
rnacentral:lncRNA from 1 species